GUGAUGCCUGUGAUGAUGCCUGUGACGCCUGUGAUGCCUGUGAUGCCUGUGACACCUGUGAUGCCUGUGAUGCCUGUGAUGACGCAUGUGACACCUGUGACGCCUGUGAUGCCUGUGACACCUGUGAUGCCUGUGAUGCCUGUGAUGCCUGUGACGCCUGUGAUGCCUGUGAUGCCUGUGAUGACGCCUGUGACACCUGUGAUGCCUGUGAUGCCUGUGAUGCCUGUGAUGACGCCUGUGACGCCUGUGACGCCUGUGAUGCCUGUGAUGCCUGAGCUGCCUUGGAUGGUUCAGUGCAACUGAAUGAUUGUUGAAUAUAGAAGACCAACAGCUCGGCACCAACUGACCUCUCAUCUGCAAGGAGUCCUGAGUUAUAAGUUACUGUUUUAGGCUGCUAAGUGUUGGAGCAGUUUGCUGCACAGCAAUAAAUGACAGAAGCAUGGUGUAGAUGUGGCAAUCACCCUGUGUUGAUUCUGUAGGCUCAUGUCCUAGAAUAAGAUCUGGGCAGUUGGUAUGGUAGCUCAAGGUGAGAGGUUUUGCAGAACCACUGAAUUUCUCUGUGUUAUACCAGAAAUGCUGUGUAGUUAACGAGAGUUCAUCUUCCUAAGGUUUUUAUUGAAAGCUCUUAUUUAGCAAAUCAUUGUCACAUGUCAACAGAUUUUGCUUUUGUUUGAGUUACUAAUGAUGACUACUGGAAGAUGAAAUCACCAUGUGUUCAUGUUCAUAAUUAUUUAAACAGCACGUGUUAUAAUAAGUUCUUCUCUCUGCUUAUGUUUCCUUAGUUUACAGCAUUUAUAUUACUGAAGAUGGUUUGACUUACACGGAUGUCUGUGCAUUUCUUGUAUACUUAAUUUAUGAGGAGGCCAGAAAAGGUGGUGGAUCUUCUGGAACUAGAGUUAGACAGUUGUGAGUUGCCAUGUGGCUGCUUAGAAUUGAACCUGUGUCUUCUGGUUCAGGAGCUCUUAACUGCUGACCCAUCUCUGUAGCCACUACAUUUUAUUUUUAAUGGUCCAUUUGGUAUAAAUGUGUUUCUGUGAUCAUAUUAUCUUUAUAACCUCUAGGGUUAUGGAGUAAGUCUUUAAACAAACAAAUAAAAUCCUUUCAGCUUUUGUUCAAAUUUUUACUUUGUAUAUGGUGAAUCUUAAUUUCUUUCCUUUUUUUACUUUUAAUUUCUUUUUUUGUUUUUUUAUCUAAUUAUUCCAUCUUUGGUUUGUUAUUUUCUAAAUUAUUAAUUCACAUCUCAAUAUUUAUCUUUCUUUAUGUAUAUCAGUUUUCUUUCUGUGCUAAAAAGCUUUACUUCAUAAUUUUUACUUACUUUGUUAAAGCUUUUCAGAAAAGCAUUUUCCAAAUCCUUACUAUUUACAUACCAAGCUUACAUUAUAUUUCCCCUUUUACCUGUUUUGAUACAUUUAAAAGCUACUUGAUUACUUUUCAAAGUAUAAAUGGAGUAUUCUGAAGCUAGGUAUAACUUAACAUAUUUUGCUCAGUGUUCUCUCUUGGUGCUGCUGAGAGGCUGUUGUGUAUUCUGAAAGGGGUGUUUUGAUGAAGUUCUUCAGCAGACCUGUACGCAGGCCAGAGUAAACAGUGAUUUCAAGCAGUCCUCUUUGGUGUCAUGACAUGGCCAGACAUCAGUGGAAACACCAGAAAGGGUUCUGAAAUAGC
rnacentral:lncRNA from 1 species